UGGGGAAUAUUGGACAAUGGGCGAAAGCCUGAUCCAGCCAUGCCGCGUGUGUGAAGAAGGUCUUCGGAUUGUAAAGCACUUUAAGUUGGGAGGAAGGGCAGUAAGCGAAUACCUUGCUGUUUUGACGUUACCGACAGAAUAGGCACCGGCUAACUCUGUGCCAGCAGCCGCGGAAAUACAGAGGGUGCAAGCGUUAAUCGGAAUUACUGGGCGUAAAGCGCGCGUAGGUGGUUCGUUAAGUUGAAUGUGAAAGCCCCGGGCUCAACCUGGGAACUGCAUCCAAAACUGGCGAGCUAGAGUAGGGCAGAGGGUGGUGGAAUUUCCUGUGUAGCGGUGAAAUGCGUAGAUAUAGGAAGGAACACCAGUGGCGAAGGCGACCACCUGGGCUCAUACUGACACUGAGGUGCGAAAGCGUGGGGAGCAAACAGG
rnacentral:rRNA from 1 species